UCCAUAUUGCUUUUAGGGCAAAAAAUUGACUUCCCUCCCUAAAAUUUCCCCUCAUCAAUUCAGAAAGGCAACGCUGGAGAUUUUUCUCCUCCCUAACCCCUCGACCAAUUAGAUUCAAUUCUUUCGGUGACGGUCUCAGGUAGGGUUUUCGACAUCUUCUCACCCUUCUGUGACAUUGUUCGUGUGCGUGUGAAACCCUAAAUAUUCUAGAGCAGGAUCAAAGUCAUGGAAGUUCCAAGAGAACUGAUUGGACCGAGUAACUCGAUCCAGAAGAAAAUGCAAUUGAGAAGGAUGAAAUUUCAGGAGAUGUAAUGGAGCCGAAGAUUGUGACGGAGUUACCCAAACCCUAAGGUCAUCUCAGAGCCAGAAAAACUAUACAGGGCAACCCCCUGAUUACAUACUAAAGGACGCAGAAAACACCAACAAGCUAAGUUAUUCAAGUUUGCUUGGGAGCAUUAAUCCUAUGAGCAGAUCUAGAGUUUAUCAUGCUUUAAGCGGUAAUAAGAUAUCAAGUGAAAAUACGGGUGAUCCAAUUUGAAAUGCUGGCCACAAGUCAAUUCGAUCUAUUGAAGUGAACGUUAAAGACUUUUUGAACUAUUGUGAUGUUUGAAUUUACAUUUGGUUUUGUGGAAUUCAUUGCUAGUGUAUAUUUUCAAACAUUAUUUUAUUAUUAUUUGCAGUACCAGACAUAUAUUGGUUUUUCGAAGUGUACUGCAAAUCUAUACAUUUGAAUGAUUGUAUUUGAGUUAUUUAUUAGUUAAUUUUGUG